rnacentral:rRNA from 1 species
AGUCGAGGGGCAGCAUUUUUGAAGCUUGCUUCAAAAGAUGGCGACCGGCGCACGGGUGAGUAACGCGUAUGGAACCAACCCGCAACAGGGGGAUAACCCGGAGAAAUCCGGACUAAUACCGCAUGGUACUCUUUGCACAGAAGUGUGAAGAUUUAAAGAUGCGAAUCGGUUGCGGACGGUCAUGCGUUCCAUUAGCUAGUUGGCGGGGUAACGGCCCACCAAGGCGACGAUGGAUAGGGGUUCUGAGAGGAAGGUCCCCCACACUGGUACUGAGACACGGACCAGACUCCUACGGGAGGCAGCAGUGAGGAAUAUUGGUCAAUGGGCGAGAGCCUGAACCAGCCAAGUCGCGUGAGGGAAGACGGCCCUAUGGGUUGUAAACCUCUUUUAGAUGGGAGUAAAGUGUUCUACGCGUAGGAUAUUGCAAGUACCAUCAGAAUAAGCAUCGGCUAAUUCCGUGCCAGCAGCCGCGGUAAUACGGAAGAUGCGAGCGUUAUCCGGAUUUAUUGGGUUUAAAGGGUGCGUAGGCGGGUGAUUAAGUCAGCGGUGAAAUGCGUCAGCUUAACUGGCGAACUGCCAUUGAAACUGGUUACCUUGAGUGUAGCGGAAGUAUGCGGAAUGCGUGGUGUAGCGGUGAAAUGCAUAGAUAUCACGCAGAA